CUAUAAGUCUUUCAUGUGUCCGUCUUCUCUUUGCAUGUUUCUGCUUCCUCCUAUUGUUGCCCUAUAAGUCUUUCAUGUGCCCGUCUUCUCUUUGCAUGUUUCUGCCUCAUUAGAUGUUGUAUUUUAGCCUGUAGUAGAAAACACCAUAUAAAACUUGGGGAUUUUUUUAUUGACGUUACUACUACUGCUAAAGAGGCUUAGUUGUCCACCCAAGAAAGGCGAUUAGGCAAAAUUAGUGAGUGCGGUUCACAGUGAAUUUACUAGAGCACUAAUCGGCAUAUCUAUAUAAUGUAUUGGUUUCACUAGCUAUGCAUGGAUUCCUAUAUGUGUGUGUUUUACUGGACGUUUUGAUAUUUUGAGGGAUGUCGGCGAACAGUUCUGAUCGUGCUGGAAGGGCAAUUACACCUAGAACGUGUGCAGAAUAUUGUCUCUUGAGUAACCAAUUAUGUUGCUAUUUCAUAAUUUAUUCAGCUUUACCACAGGUUGAAACUGGACAUGUCUUCACUUGCUACUUAAUUUAUUUAGCUUUAAGUUAUUCGUGCCAGUGACUGAAACUUGUUGCCUUUUCUAGGGCAAUUGUGUGUCCUUAACUUCCUGGGAUGGAGUUAAUUAAAUUCAGUUUCAACGAUACCUAGAGGACCGAGGAACUUGAGUACUCUUGGCACGUAUAUUAAAGAUCUGUUUUGUAAGUAUGAGGUAGGUCGUCGAUAUCUCCUUCAAAUAUAAAUUCAAUCACUACAUGCAAUACUGCCCUAAGUUGUAUGCAGGUAAAAUAUUAUGGAUUCACAGCUUUGGUUCGUUGAAGUGUGAAGUUGGUUCAAUAUUAUAUGGAGCAUGAAAUGUAUACAUAGUUUGUAGCAUUACUAUAGAGAUGGGAGAAUGGACGGCUCCACCUCCUCCAACCUCACCUCCCAUCGGCGCCCAGAGUGGUAAAGUAAUGCAUGCAGAGACGACCAAAUAUGCUGAGCCGAGGUGAGUCGAUGUCAAUUUGCAAUAGGUGUUUUUUUUUCCUUUCAUGAAUCUUCAUGUAUCCACACAUGUUGUAUGGAUGCGAUGCCGCAAACGCAUAUAGUGAUUUAUUACUGUUAACAUAUGAAUUUCCUCUUCUUUUGUCGAUCUCCCAUAGGAGAAGUAAAAGAGAAGGACCAAUUGUUGUGGUCGAUUUGUAGGAAAAAUUCCUCUUGUGCUUUAAUUGAAACUUGUUUUAUUUAUCUAUUGAUAUAGAAAGCAGUCAAAUUUCAUUCCCUGUUUUCUUAUGCUAAUUCUAGAGCCUAUAAAGAUAUACAACUUAAGAAAUGCAUACAUGGUUUCAUCCCAAAACUAUUCUCUACAUGAGUCAUAAUGCAGCGUUUCUUUUUUGUUUCUCGUGUGGUCAAGCACUCAGCCUAAGUAGGUCGAAUCUCUUCAACUGAUUUGGCAUGUGAGCUCCUGGCCUUCUUUUAUGGGGUUCUGCAAUAUUUGGUCUGCGUUUUGUACCCUUGUGGGAGUUCGUCAAGAUUUUGUAUGUGACUAGGGUGUUGUUUGGAAGGGUUUCGGUCCUACUGUAGUUGGGAUCUCUUGCAAAGUGAGUGAAUUUGGUUUCUUUGUUGUAUUUGAGGCACCCAUACUGGCUUAAACCUUUGUCAUCUCCUGCACUGAUUUUAAGGAUUUUAGUUUCAUGUGAGGUAGUGGAAUCUAGGUGUUUGCAGAGCGUGUAAUGUAGUGUUCUGGAGUAGAUAUCCCUCAGUUUCUGGGUUCCUAAUCAUUGCUUGGUUCAUUUUUCGCUAACUUGUGUCUUACUUUAAAUUUUAGAUUGUUUUAUUUGCAAUGGAAUGUCAGCUUUUGUUUUUGGUAAUAUGUUCGCUUUAAAGAAUUUGGUAAUCUCACCCCUACAAUGUUUGUGUUCUUGCUCUGUCUAGAGUGAUUAUUUUUACUUCCUGAUAUCACUUUGAUGCUUGUAAUCUCCAGUUUACCGGGAGGCGCUGAGCAUUAAUCGUUCUUGUGCGUUCUAAAAACCAUCAUCGGGAUGGUUCAGGACAUCAGGUGUUAUUUUCAGAUUUUCAAAACAAACCUUGGAAUUUCUAAUUAAAAUAAACUGAUGAGUUGCUAUUGCCAUCUCCGAGAAGGAUAUCAUUCUUGCUUUCUUGGAUAGAUUUAUAUAACAUUCAACUUCACAAUUUCACCUUUUUCCAGGGGACAUAAUCAUACAUUACUAUACUGUUCGAUGAAUAAAUCCUUACUGACUGGACUUCUUCCGAAUUUUGUAAUAUAAAUGUCUGAUUGAAUUCUACAUAGUAAGACACUUCAAUAGUUAGACUGUUACUGGAAACUUGUGUUUAUAUGGUGUUAGAAGGAUACAAUAAUUUAUGAUGCAUGGAGUAGAGUAUUAUAACAUUGCUAGCUUGAAAUGAUAAACAUUGGACUGUUCAAGUGUUUGGGUGCAGGUUCAAGUGUUUUGUUCCUUCAUCCUUUGGGAAAUGAUUAAUUAUCUAACAAUGAGAAUAUCAGUGGAGUGGCAAUCCUGAUGGUCCGUCCGUUCCAUUUUGUAAUGCAUGUUUUAGUCUAUUUCAUGAAAUAAGAUAUUAGAGGGAAGUGACCAUGGUAGCCAAUGGUAUUAUUAUCUAGAGAAUAUGAGAGAGAACAGUCAGUAUGUAUGUGUACUCAUAAAUGCUAGAAAUAAAUAAAUUAGUAAAAGAGAGAGAAGAGUCGUCAGUUCUACAUGAAGGUGUCAUAUUCUAAAUGAUUGUCAAAUUUAUAUUUUUAAAUGGAUGGAGGGAAUAGCAUUUAACUGUCAGACAACUCAGCUAUGUCCAAAUGGCAGAUGCAAGUACAAGCUUCUUGAUCUGGAUGUGUAUGCUGAUGCACUCUUAGAUGUUGUGCCUUCUACCUAGGCCCUUAUGUGGAGCAUAUCUACAACCAGGAAUCUAAUGAUGGAAGUAUGUACAUGGCAGUACAGUACUCGAUCAGGGAGCUGAGCUCUAGGUGUCUUCAUAUAGCGGUAGCAAGUGUCGAGGGCUCAAACUACCAUCUGCAGCUGCAAAUAUGGAUGCAAAUCACUCAGCUUAGGUGUCUGCAUAUAGCAGCAGCAAUUGUUGAGUGCUCAAACCACAAACUACAGCUGCUGCAAGUAUAGAUGCAACUCAUUUAGCAUAGAUCAUAUCAUUAUGUUUUUGCUAUUGCCACCUGGUUCUAUGUGCUGCCAUGGCCAGAGGUUUCUUUUAUGUAUUUGUACUGGUCUAUAAAAAUGUAAUGAAUGUGUUGAAGGCUAUCCUAAUCGUAAUGUAUCGAUGUGAUAAA